GUCGAGGGGCAUCGGGGCUAGGAGCUAUCCUUGCCGCCGGCGACCGGCGCACGGGUGAGUAACGCGUAUGCGACCUGCCCGUUGCAGGGGGAUAAUCCGGAGAAAUCCGGUCUAAUACCGCAUAAUAUCGUGAAUCUGCAUGGAUUUGCGAUUAAAGGAGCGAUCCGGUGACGGAUGGGCAUGCGUGACAUUAGCUAGUCGGCGGGGUAACGGCCCACCGAGGCGACGAUGUCUAGGGGUUCUGAGAGGAAGGUCCCCCACACUGGUACUGAGACACGGACCAGACUCCUACGGGAGGCAGCAGUGAGGAAUAUUGGUCAAUGGGCUUACGCCUGAACCAGCCAAGUCGCGUGAGGGAAGACUGCCCUAUGGGUUGUAAACCUCUUUUGUCAGGGAGCAACGCCGGCUACGUGUAGCCGGACUGAGAGUACCUGAAGAAAAAGCAUCGGCUAACUCCGUGCCAGCAGCCGCGGUAAUACGGAGGAUGCGAGCGUUAUCCGGAUUUAUUGGGUUUAAAGGGUGCGUAGGCGGAAUGCCAAGUCAGCGGUAAAAUCGCGGGGCUCAACCUCGCUCCGCCGUUGAAACUGGCGUUCUUGAGUGGGCGAGAAGUAUGCGGAAUGCGUGGUGUAGCGGUGAAAUGCAUAGAUAUCACGCAGAACUCCGAUUGCGAAGGCAGCUUACCGGCGCCCAACUGACGCUGAAGCACGAAAGCGUGGGUAUCGAACAGGAUUAGAUACCCUGGUAGUCCACGCAGUAAACGAUGAAUACUAGC
rnacentral:rRNA from 1 species